rnacentral:rRNA from 1 species
UACGGAAGGUCCGGGCGUUAUCCGGAUUUAUUGGGUUUAAAGGGAGCGCAGACGGCCUGUUAAGCGUGCAGUGAAAUGUGGGUGCUCAACAUCUGCACUGCUGCGUGAACUGGCGGGCUUGAGUUGUCUGGAGGUGCGCGGAAUUCGUGGUGUAGCGGUGAAAUGCUUAGAUAUCACGAGGAACCCCGAUUGCGAAGGCAGCGCACCGUUGGCACACUGACGUUGAGGCUCGAAGGUGCGGGUAU